rnacentral:lncRNA from 1 species
GUUUAGAGCUUCCCUGCAGGUCUUAGCAGAGGCCCAGUGGUUGUGGCUUCAUGCAAGACUGUUCAGGGCAAUAACAGCCCCAUUAGAGAAUUUGAGAAGGUUUUUUAAUUUUAUUUUUCAUUUUAAAAUUAUUUUUAUUAGUUUGGGUACAUGAGUGUUUUGUGUGCAUGUACGUCUGUGCACCAAAUACAUGCCUGUUGUGUGAGGAAGGAACGAGCCUCCAUGAGAAUGCUGGGAAUCAAACCUGGGUCCUGACUCAAACACUGAGCCAAAUCUCCAGCCUGAGAAUUUAACAAGUUUGAUUCAAAGUUAAAGCUUGAAGAAGUAUGUCAAUAUCUCUAAACUUGGUUAUUCACAAAAAAAUCCUUUUCUGAGACCUUCACUUGAUUCAGCCCUCACAACAGUCCUGCCACAGGUGACAGGAACCCCAUUUCCCAGAGGAUAAUGAAUGAAUGGCUUUGUUUUGUUUUGUUUUGUUUUGUUCUGGGGGAGGCAGUAAAUGGUCUUUCUUCACCAUCUAGCUACGCUUUUAUUGAGUGAGAUCUGAUAAUUGUUUUGUUGGUUUUUGUUUUGUUUUGUUUUGUGCAUGUGUGUGCAUGUGUGUGUGUGUUUUGAGACAAUGCUUCUUACAGUUCACUUUGGCCUUGAACUUACUGAGUAGCUAAAGAUAACCUUAAACUCCUGAUCCUUGUGCCUUCACCUCCCAGAUGUUACGAUAGCAUGUACCUUGCUAUCUGGCUGGUUUCUGCUCUGUUUUGCUUUGUAGCUUGAGAGGCUAUUAGGUUACCUGGUGCUUUAGUGUGUACAGCAUGGAAGGCAGAAGGUUGGUAUGUUGUGCUAGGCUGCCCUCAGUGAUUGAGGGAUGCAGAGAUAUUGGAUAGAAAAUGUCUAUUAUUAUCUUGUGUGUUUGUUUAUAGUCACCUUUCAGUAACUGAUUUGUUUUAUAUACACACACCCCUUAUUAGAAUUGGAAAAAUACAAUAAAUUAUCUCUCAUACCUUUCUGCGGCUGCCUAGAUGGCUCAGCAGGUAAAGGCCCUUGCCACCAUGCCUGAGGACUGUUUGAUCCCCAGAACCCACAUGGUGAACAGAAGCAAUAUCUUCACAUUGUCCUCAGAAUUCCACACACCCUCCAUGUAAUACAUGCCCCUCCCAGUAAAUAAACACUAUCUUAAAAAGAUUUAAAAAGUAAUGAUGUCCUGUGAAGCUGCAUACAGUCUCUAAAUAAUGCUGCAUACACUAAGAUCCCCAUGUAUUUUAAAGGCUUCAAUAUGUGUGGCUUGUGUUUGAAAAUUAUUUCUUAUGUAUUUUAACUAUAUGUAUAAACUAAUCUCUCUCUUUUUAAAAAGAUUUAUUUAUUGUUAUAUGUAAGGCACUGUAGCUGUCUUCACACACACCAGAAGAGGGCAUCAGAUCUCAUUAUGGAUGGUUAUGAGCCACCAUGUGGUUGCUGGGAUUUGAACUCAGGACCUUAGGAAGAGCAGUCAGUGCUUUUAACCACUGAGCCAUCUCACCAGCCAUAGACUAAUCUCUUAAGACAGUUGUCCAGAAAGAGACCUUUCGGAUGAAGGAUUUCAAAAUUAUCUUCCAGUCCUCAUAAGUUUCUCCGUGACCAGUCUUAUAUGAAACAAAAUCCGUAAUUGGCAUUUAAAUGCCUUUGUAUAUGUGUAGUAAGAGGACAACACCCCGAUGGAGGAAGUAAAAGCUGUCAGCGCCUCAUUAGCUUGACUGGCAGGCAUGUUGUACCAAGCACACUUUGACAUUUAGAGUCUCCAGGUUAGAACCUUGUUUUUCCUCUUGAACUCUUCCUCCCUUCCCUCCUCCCUUCUCCCUUCCCACUACCCUGCUUCUCUCCCCUCCCUUCCCUUCCCUUCCCCCUUUCCUUCCUUCCUUCCUUCCUUCCUUCCUUCCUUCCUUCCUUCCUUCCUUCCUUCCUUUCUUUCUUUCUUUCUUUCUUUCUUUCUUUCUUUCUUUCUUUCUUUCUUUCUUUCUUUCUUUCUUGGAGACAGGAUAUCCUGUAGCCUAGGCUGUACUCAAAGUCACCAUAUAGCUCCGAGGCUGGCUUUGGCCUUUGGUCUCCUCCUCCUGAGUGCUGGGAUCACAGGAAUGUGUCACCACACUCAGCUACGUUUUUUUCUAAUGAGGUUAUUUGUUUUGUUUUAUUUUGUUUUUGUGGGUUUUUUUCUUUUAUGUUAUAAAACUUCCUGAUGUUUUAUUAAUUCUCAUUUAUUUUUUCUUAGUUGAAAGGAGAUGUGCGUUGUCUAUGGAAAAGUUUGAAAAUACUGAUACUCCCCAAAAGAAGAAAGUUUAAUAGCUCUUAGUCCUUUCACCUACAAAUGACUUUAGCAGAUUAUGAAGUGCCAUCAGACCCACCCUUGGCAGCUUAGAGGUGGUCAUUAUGCAUCUUGUGCAUUACAGGCAAAACCUACCUUAUUAAAUUCAUGUUCCUAUCGUGAGUGCAGACUGGUUCCUCAAAGUCAUUGUUCAGUCUGUCAAUAAAAUUUUCCUAGUAUAUUCAUGUUAAUGUUGUUUCAUAGAGGAAUUCUCAUUCAUGUGUGUCCAGUACUUUGACUUAAUUCAAACUUUUUGUUGAUCACUCUUAUGUCUUAUGAAAAUUGGUUUUCUGUACAUUUUUGUUAGCCUAGACUGUAUGAACAGUGUUAACCUGAUGUGGCGGGUGCUGUAAGGUCUCCAUGUCAGUGACCUGCCUGUUUCCAGAGUUAGAGUUCAAUUGAGCUCUACUGAGAUGUGUCAUCAACAGUUCAAUAAAAUAGGCCUUUCUGAUUUUGAACAUGCUCUUGCAGCAGGAUUAUCCUUCACAUACAAAGAAUUUUAGGAAAUCUUUUUAGACACAUUUUCUGAUAGAACUUUGCAAAAAUUAAGAUCACACGGUUUUUAAAACUACAAACUGGGUAUGGUAGGUCACAUUUAUAAUCCCAGCACUCAGGAGGCCAAGGUAGGAGGAUUGUGAGUUCAAGACCAGGCUGGGCUCUAUAGGAGGUUCAAGGCAAGUCUGGACCACACAGUGGGACCCUGCAGAACAGAACUGUCAGGUAUAGUGAAGAGUUUGAGAAGGGAGAUUACUUCUGCACUUAACAUUGAAGUGGCUGUUAUAGUUUUCAGAUUAGCAGUUGCAAAUGUGCAUGACCAUAGAAGCCUUGCUUUCCAUGAGUUACUAAUGAUUCUGGUAUUCGUUAUAAUUCCAAACAGUUUUUAGGAUAGUAAGUGGCUGAAAUUCAUGAUAUAUCUCCUUUUAAAAAUUAUUUCCCCUAAAUAUCCUGCCUGUAUGAAUUUUUAUGAUUACCAGUAAAUCUUUGCCAGCUUCUAGAGAUGUAACUUUGAAAGAAUUUUGCACUUUGAGAAUUCAAUCUUUUUUAGGUUAGAAUAUUCUGAUUUUACAUAACAUAGUGUAUAAACCCUAGAGGAGAGAUUGUCAUUGAUGUUUUAAACCCAGAGAGAUUAAGUAAAUAUAAUGAAAACUAGAAAUCCUAAGAAUAUACUUUUUAGCUAACGAUUCCAUCAGGCUCUGUGAGCUUAAUCUUACAAAAGGCUUCGGGACGCUCAGGCUGAGGACUGUAUGUGGUUGCUGGAGAACCUGGUGGUUGUGAGUCUUCUAGUCAGGUACUGGUUUUCCUUCCUCAGUAUUAAAAGGCAGUGCUAGCUAAGCUCUCAUAGGUAUAAGGAAGAAAACAGAUUUUUAAUAACGUUUAAAUUUAUUCAGACAAAAAAUGCUUUUGCUUUAAUAAAUAACCCCAAAUCAUGGUCACAUUUU